CCAGACUCCUACGGGAGGCAGCAGUGGGGAAUAUUGCACAAUGGGGGAAACCCUGAUGCAGCGACGCCGCGUGAGCGAAGAAGUAUUUCGGUAUGUAAAGCUCUAUCAGCAGGGAAGAAAAAAAUGACGGUACCUGAGUAAGAAGCGCCGGCUAAAUACGUACCAGCAGCCGCGGUAAUACGUAUGGUGCAAGCGUUAUCCGGAUUUACUGGGUGUAAAGGGAGCGUAGGCGGCGCGUUAAGUCUGAUGUGAAACCCCGAGGCUCAACCACGGGAGUGCAUUGGAAACUGGCGGGCUGGAGUGCCGGAGAGGUAAGCGGAAUUCCUAGUGUAGCGGUGAAAUGCGUAGAUAUUAGGAGGAACACCAGUGGCGAAGGCGGCCUACUGGACGGCAACUGACGCUGAGGCUCGAAAGCGUGGGGAGCAAACAGGAUUAGAUACCCGUGUA
rnacentral:rRNA from 1 species